rnacentral:rRNA from 1 species
UACGUAGGGGGCAAGCGUUGUCCGGAAUCAUUGGGCGUAAAGCGCGUGUAGGCGGCCAGAAAAGUCCGCUGUGAAAACUCGAGGCUCAACUUCGAGCUGUCGGUGGAAACUUUCUGGCUAGAGUCCGGAAGAGGAGAGUGGAAUUCCUGGUGUAGCGGUGAAAUGCGCAGAUAUCAGGAAGAACACCCGUGGCGAAGGCGGUUCUCUGGGACGGUACUGACGCUGAGACGCGAAAGCGUGGGGAGCGAACAGG